rnacentral:rRNA from 1 species
CAGUCGCCGCGGGAAUACGUAGGUGGCGAGCGUUGUCCGGAAUUAUUGGGCGUAAAGGGAGCGCAGGCGGACAUAUAGGUCCAUCUUAAAAGUGCGGGGCUCAACCCCGUGAGGGGAUGGAAACUGUAUGCCUUGAGUGCAGGAGAGGAAAGCGGAAUUCCCAGUGUAACGGUGAAAUGCGUAGAUAUUGGGAGGAACACCAGUGGCGAAGGCGGCUUUCUGGACUGUAACUGACGCUGAGGCUCGAAAGCCAGGGGAGCGAACGGGAUUAGAUACCCCCGUAGUCCCUGUCUCUUAUACA